rnacentral:rRNA from 1 species
GACGAACGCUGGCGGCGUGCUUAACACAUGCAAGUCGAACGGAAAGGCCCUGCUUUUGUGGGGUGCUCGAGUGGCGAACGGGUGAGUAACACGUGAGUAACCUGCCCUUGACUUUGGGAUAACUUCAGGAAACUGGGGCUAAUACCGGAUAGGAGCUCCUGCUGCAUGGUGGGGGUUGGAAAGUUUCGGCGGUUGGGGAUGGACUCGCGGCUUAUCAGCUUGUUGGUGGGGUAGUGGCUUACCAAGGCUUUGACGGGUAGCCGGCCUGAGAGGGUGACCGGCCACAUUGGGACUGAGAUACGGCCCAGACGCCUACGGGAGGCAGCAGUGGGGAAUAUUGCACAAUGGGCGGAAGCCUGAUGCAGCAACGCCGCGUGCGGGAUGACGGCCUUCGGGUUGUAAACCGCUUUCGCCGAUGACGAAGCGUGAGUGACGGUAAUGGGUAAGGAAGCACCGGCUAACUACGUG